GGAGUAGCUCGGGGCUGUGUGCGGACAGGGAGUAGCUCGGGGUACAGGGAGGUGUAGCUAGGGGCUGUGUGCGGACAGAGGGAUAGCUCGGGGCUGUGUGUGGAUAGUGGGGUGGCUCAGGGUGCAGGGAGGUGUAGCUUGGGGCUGUGUGCAGACAGGGAUAGCUCGGGGCUGUCUGCGGAUAGGGGGAUAGCUCAGGGUGCAGGGAGGGUGUAGCUAGCGGCUGUGUGCCAGAAGGGCUUCCCCUGUGAUAGCUGCUCCCCGUGGGCUCUGCCAGCCACGGAGCCAGGUCCUCCACCCCAGACAGCUCUUACCAGCUGCGUGAGCAAAGGGGGCUGGGAACUGAGGAGAAGCUUCAGCCUCUUGCAGCAGCAGGAGACAAGGCAACGCCUUGGCUGCCUGUGCAAUGGCACCAGCCAGAGCAGCAGCUGCCACCACCAACCUGUGUCCCCUGCUGCACCCCCCCAACUCUACCCAUGGGCUCAGGGCUUCUGCCCCAUGGGGAGUACCAGGGCUUGGGGCUCUAGCAUUCAGCCCUGCUGCUCCCAGCUUCAGCCCCGCGCAGGACAGGGGCUGAGACAGGGAUCGGGGCUUCAACCCAGUGGCAGG